GAGGGAAGCACGUGAGCUGACUGUCAAGAAAAGCCGCUAUUGUUUGCAGGAUACCCGUACCGUAAACCGACACAGGUGGAUGAGGAGAGAAUCCUAAGGCCGACGGGAGAAGCAUUGUUAAGGAACUCGGCAAAAUAACUCCGUAACUUCGGGAGAAGGAGUGCCAGUAAGAUGGCCGCAGAGAAUUGGCCCAAGCAACUGUUUAGCAAAAACACAGGUCUAUGCAAAACCGAAAGGUGAGGUAUGGGCUGACGCCUGCCCGGUGCUGGAAGGUUAAGGGGAGAGGUUAGCGCAAGCGAAGCUUUGAACUUAAGCCCCGGUAAACGGCGGCCGUAACAAUAACGGUCCUAAGGUAGCGAAAUUCCUUGUCGGGUAAGUUCCGACCCGCACGAAAGGCGUAAUGAUUUGGGCACUGUCUCAACAAUGCACCCGGUGAAAUUGAAAUACCAGUGAAGAUGCUGGUUACCUGCGCCAGGACGGAAAGACCCCAUGGAGCUUUACUCCAGCUUGAUACUGGGAUUCGGUAUUGCAUGUACAGGAUAGGUGGGAGGCUAGGAAAUGGUAACGCCAGUUGCCAUGGAGCCGAUGUUGGGAUACCACCCUUGCAGUACUGGGUUUCUAACCAGCAGCCGUGAUCCGGCUGGGGGACAAUGUCAGGUGGGGAGUUUGACUGGGGCGGUCGCCUCCGAAAGGGUAUCGGAGGCGCUCAAAGGUUCCCUCAGAAUGGUUGGAAACCAUUCGAAGAGUGCAAAGGCAGAAGGGAGCUUGACUGCGACACCGACGGGUGGAGCAGGUACGAAAGUAGGACUUAGUGAUCCGGUGGUAUAAAGUGGGAUUGCCAUCGCUCAACGGAUAAAAGCUACCCUGGGAUAACAGGCUUAUCACUCCCAAGAGUUCACAUCGACGGAGCGGUUUGGCACCUCGAUGUCGGCUCAUCGCAUCCUGGGGCUGAAGUAGGUCCCAAGGGUUGGGCUGUUCGCCCAUUAAAGCGGUACGCGAGCUGGGUUCAGAACGUCGUGAGACAGUUCGGUCCCUAUCCGGCGUGGGCGUAAGAUAUUUGAGAGGAGCUGUCCUUAGUACGAGAGGACCGGGAUGGACUGGCCGCUGGUGUAUCUGUUGUCUUACCAAAGGCAUAGCAGAGUAGCCAAGCCGGGAAGGGAUAAACGCUGAAGGCAUCUAAGCGUGAAGCCCCCCUCAAGAUGAGAUAUCUCAUAACGUCAAGUUAGUAAGACCCCUUGAAGACGACGAGGUAGAUAGGGCAGAGGUGGAAGUGUGGUAACACAUGGAGCUGACUGUUACUAAUAGGUCGAGGGCAUAAU
rnacentral:rRNA from 1 species